UCUGGAUCUAAGAAAAAUGUUGUCUCUUUGUGCUAAUUGAUUACAAAAGUGCUACAUGUUAUUUCCGGCGUUUUACAGAUCUGCUGCUUUGAAUGACAUUAGAGGAAAGCGCGCUUUUUUGCUUACCCCGUUUCUCAAUUCCGUGGAUUCCAGUUGGUUUAUAAACUGUUUAGCAGUCCUUGCAACUCCCAGUAUUGCUUUGCUGUUCUUGCACUUUUAAGGAAGUUGUCUUUGACCUCCAAUCUCUGAAGUGGUUUGAGAAAGUAUUACUUCCUGUCUUGUGAUCGUCUAAAUGGCUCUUGGGACCAGUGAAUAAGGCCACAGUUGUUGGAAGAGGCCCUGCCACGAGGUCGCUGUCCCGAAUACCCUGCUGUUUUAGAAGGGAACUCAGCUGAAAACAACCCGUGCACUACCUACAAAUGGAAAAUGCAAACGAGAACUAAAAGGUAUCAAAAUGGCAAAAAAGUGGAAACCAUCUAAUAUUCUAACACUUUUUAGUGUGAGUUCCAGAAGAGCAAGACUGAAUGAGCAAAACUGCAGACUUGCAUAAAAACAAACCUGAGAUUGCCAUUUCUCAGAAUAUUCCCUAUUCUCCGAGGUAUGGUGAACUUGGAGUUGGUAUAUAUGUGUUUGGGGGUACAAAGGAAACUUGUACCCCCCUGCAAAAAACAAUUUUAACGGAGAGCAGUGAUGUUUAACAUUCGUUGUUUUCUUCUAUAUUUUCUUAGUUAUUUUUUGUAAUUCCAGAGUUUGCACUUAUAAGUCCCGGAACUGCAAUAGGUAGCCCAAAAAAGAGCUCAAGAUGGUUUGGGGGUAAAGUUGCCUUUAUAUGGGGCACACACACCAACUGAUAUGAGAGGGGUAGCAAUAUGUGAUUAGCUUAAUGUUUCUACAGGGAGAUAUGCAACAGUUGAAAACAUUGGUCAGACAAAGACUGACAUUACUGAGUAGAACUUCAAAAACCAAAAAAAAAAUUAAAAUAAAAAAAAAAAAAGAAGAACUUACUUCUGUAAGAGUUCACUCUACUAUAGCUGUAUGGAUUGCUUGUGUGUGUGUGUGUGUGUGUGUGUGUGUGUGUGUGUGUGUGUGUGUGUGUGUGUGUGUGUGUGUGAACCUGUACACAGUAUAUGCAAUGUGUAUAUCAGCACUUGUGCUUCUGGUUCGCUUUUUGGAAAAGACAGAGGAAGAAUACAAAGGAAGUGAUAUUUACACUAAAGUGUAGAGUAAACAAAGAUCCUAAAGAGCAUACACAACAAUGGUAUACAGUAAAUGGCAACAAAACGAGGGUGUUAAUGAACAUAGUUUCAUAGUUUAGUACUAGGCUAUCUGCCCUGGGGCAUUUGCAAGCCUAGCCCUAGAGAUGUGGCU